UUAUUUAGAAAUAAUAUUAUGAUUAGGUAUUUAAUUAUGAAUUUAAAAAUUUAAAUUUAAAACCACAUAAGCAAUAUUUAGUUAAGAUAUAAUACAUAAAUAAUUUUUUUUAUGUGUGUGUUAAAAAAAAAAAAGAGAAGGUAGAAGGAACAAAAAAAAGGGGGGGUGGAAGGUUGUUGUUUCUAAGUCCCACAUUGGUUAGAUGAGGGAAGAGAAGAGGUGCCUUCAUGUAUAAAAAGGAGGGGGUGUGUGCAUUAGGAAGCAUGAGAGGCUAAGAUGCAAUUUAGAGAAAAUUGCAACUUUGGGCCCAAAGGUUUGAAUAAUUAAAUUCAAACCUAUAGUUUUUUUUUUAAUAUAAUUUUGGGACUCACAAUCCCAUUUUUAUAUUAUUUUUCUCUCUUCCUCUCACGUUGCUCGGCGUUUUCUCGCAAGGGGGGAUUAUUUUCUUUUUCUUCAGAUUAUAUUGACAAAGAUAGUGGUGAAAAAGGAGUUGUGAAGGGGAACUUGUUAUUCAAGACACAAGGAGCGAAUCCGGCCGAGAAAGCACCAGAGGUGUAAUUAUGGUGUAUGAGACACCAUCUUUUACGUUGCCUCUUAUUUUGGAUUAUACAAUGUAUCUUGUGCCAACUUAGGACAUAUCUUGUCUAUGGAGCAUGUAAACUCUAAUCCUUUUUAUUAAAUGCAUUUAUAUGUCCAAGAGGAUUAUGUCUGUCCCUUUUGAUUCAUGACCUAAUUUAAAUAACAUGCUAUGAGGAUCAUGUCUGUCCCUCAUGGUUCUAAUUGCUUUUUGAGAUAUUUUAAGACCUGUGGUAUAUUGUCUUGGAUGUAUCAUGGUAGAAAUUUUUCUACC